rnacentral:rRNA from 1 species
GAUGAACGCUGGCGGCGUGCUUAACACAUGCAAGUCGAGCGAAGCACUUAAGUCUGAUUCUUCGGAUGAAGACUUUUGUGACUGAGCGGCGGACGGGUGAGUAACGCGUGGGUAACCUGCCUCAUACAGGGGGAUAACAGUUAGAAAUGACUGCUAAUACCGCAUAAGACCACGGUACCGCAUGGUACAGUGGUAAAAACUCCGGUGGUAUGAGAUGGACCCGCGUCUGAUUAGGUAGUUGGUGGGGUAACGGCCUACCAAGCCGACGAUCAGUAGCCGACCUGAGAGGGUGACCGGCCACAUUGGGACUGAGACACGGCCCAGACUCCUACGGGAGGCAGCAGUGGGGAAUAUUGCACAAUGGAGGAAACUCUGAUGCAGCGACGCCGCGUGAAGGAUGAAGUAUUUCGGUAUGUAAACUUCUAUCAGCAGGGAAGAAAAUGACGG